rnacentral:rRNA from 1 species
UACGUAGGGUGCAAGCGUUGUCCGGAAUUAUUGGGCGUAAAGAGCUUGUAGGCGGUUUGUCGCGUCUGCUGUGAAAUUUCGGGGCUCAACCCCGAACUUGCAGUGGGUACGGGCAGACUAGAGUGUGGUAGGGGGAGACUGGAAUUCCUGGUGUAGCGGUGAAAUGCGCAGAUAUCAGGAGGAACACCUAUUGCGAAGGCAGCUCGCUGGGGACGUAACUGACGCUGAGACGCGAAAGCGUGGGGGAGCAAACAGG